rnacentral:rRNA from 1 species
UUGAUCCUGGCUCAGAUUGAACGCUGGCGGCAGGCUUAACACAUGCAAGUCGAGCGGUAGCACAGGGGAGCUUGCUCCCUGGGUGACGAGCGGCGGACGGGUGAGUAAUGUCUGGGAAACUGCCUGAUGGAGGGGGAUAACUACUGGAAACGGUAGCUAAUACCGCAUAACGUCGCAAGACCAAAGAGGGGGACCUUCGGGCCUCUUGCCAUCAGAUGUGCCCAGAUGGGAUUAGCUAGUAGGUGGGGUAAUGGCUCACCUAGGCGACGAUCCCUAGCUGGUCUGAGAGGAUGACCAGCCACACUGGAACUGAGACACGGUCCAGACUCCUACGGGAGGCAGCAGUGGGGAAUAUUGCACAAUGGGCGCAAGCCUGAUGCAGCCAUGCCGCGUGUGUGAAGAAGGCCUUCGGGUUGUAAAGCACUUUCAGCGAGGAGGAAGGUGGUGAGCUUAAUACGCUCAUCAAUUGACGUUACUCGCAGAAGAAGCACCGGCUAACUCCGUGCCAGCAGCCGCGGUAAUACGGAGGGUGCAAGCGUUAAUCGGAAUUACUGGGCGUAAAGCGCACGCAGGCGGUUUGUUAAGUCAGAUGUGAAAUCCCCGGGCUCAACCUGGGAACUGCAUUUGAAACUGGCAAGCUAGAGUCUCGUAGAGGGGGGUAGAAUUCCAGGUGUAGCGGUGAAAUGCGUAGAGAUCUGGAGGAAUACCGGUGGCGAAGGCGGCCCCCUGGACGAAGACUGACGCUCAGGUGCGAAAGCGCGGGGAGCAAACAGGAUUAGAUACCCUGGUAGUCCACGCUGU